AACGAACGCUGGCGGCAUGCCUAACACAUGCAAGUCGAACGAGACCUUCGGGUCUAGUGGCGCACGGGUGCGUAACGCGUGGGAAUCUGCCCUUGGGUUCGGAAUAACAGUUAGAAAUGACUGCUAAUACCGGAUGAUGUCUUCGGACCAAAGAUUUAUCGCCCAAGGAUGAGCCCGCGUAGGAUUAGGUAGUUGGUGGGGUAAUGGCCCACCAAGCCGACGAUCCUUAGCUGGUCUGAGAGGAUGAUCAGCCACACUGGGACUGAGACACGGCCCAGACUCCUACGGGAGGCAGCAGUGGGGAAUAUUGGACAAUGGGCGAAAGCCUGAUCCAGCAAUGCCGCGUGAGUGAUGAAGGCCUUAGGGUUGUAAAGCUCUUUUACCAGGGAUGAUAAUGACAGUACCUGGAGAAUAAGCUUCGGCUAACUCCGUGCCAGCAGCCGCUGUAA
rnacentral:rRNA from 1 species